UUUAGAGAUCGUUUGUGCCACAUGGUAUCUUUGUUUGUCAGCCGACACCCCCCUUUAAGGAUGACAAACUUUAUGUCUUCUGUUCCUGACGAGAUGUUCUCCUUUGGGUUACCUGGAUAAACCCUCCAUCAAUCAUGUCCUGAGUCACUCAUCGACUCACUCUUUAUUGACACUGUCACAUCUUCAUCAUCACACAGACUCAGGGUCCCUGUGUGCCUGUAUGUAACAUCAGUAAAGCUGUCAAGCAACCAGGCCAAGGUAAACAGCCCAGCACCGGGUUCAGGGGUGACGGGGGCCGAGAUGUUUUUCCUCAGGAACCCAGGGACCCCCGGAGGCUUCUGGCUGGGGCCAGGGAGGGGCCGAGGGGGGGAAGAUGAUCCCCUCAGUUGCCCCCCACAUGAACACACAACAACGGGUCGCUCUCAUUUCUCUCUUUUACAGAAUCUCAUUGACAAAUGUACGAUAAAUCAUCAGCACUCACAUACUCCCCUUACUCACAUUUUGCUGCUUAUAUCAUCCCCGUGUUGACAUAGAAAUAUACACAUGUAUGCCUUAAAAUAUGUCCAAAAGAUACAGUAUGCAGAAUGUCAGAGUUCCCAAAUCAAAAAUGUAAUUAGAUUUUGUUCCAACUCUCUGCUGCUCAUGGUUUUAUGAGAUACUUUAGGUGAACUUCUAAUAGGAUCUUGGCUUCUUGUUCUUCUUGGGGGAAUGUGGCAAUCAUUUAUUUCACUUGAAUAGGAAAAACUAGGAGGAACAAGAGGAGAAGGAGGAGUAGGGCUGUCCAAAAAGGAGAACAUGGUAGAGAAAGAAAUAUAGCAAAGGGAGAGGGAGUUAAACGGUGAAUAUGGAUGGAUUGAUAGAAGGAUAUUGGGGAGAAAUGAUAUCUUUAACCCAGGCGUGACCCCUCUCAGCCCCAGCAAGCUGCUCCCUAAGAGGGAGGCAGACAGCCCGGAGAGGGAGAGCAAAGAUAGGGUCCAUCCAGAGGUUGCAAAUCAGAGGCAGCACUAAAAACACAGCAAACUGGGAACAUGAGAGACAGGGAAAAAAGGCAGUGAGCACUGGGAGUUGAAGAAGAGACUAAAAAAGAAAAUUAAAAAAAAAGUGGAGAAGGAUUUAAUGGAGAAAGGAACAAGGUCAGGGGAGAAAAAGAAAGAAGGGAGGCAGAGGGCGAAAUUGUUGAAAGAAAACUUGAGCCAGUCAAGCCAAGAAAAGCAUGUAGAAUUGAAUUAGGGGAGGGGAGAGCCACUGAGCAAACCAACAGGAGAGGAAAGUAGGGGUGCAAGGAGGAAGAGGAGGACCAUUACCCUUCGUACAUCAGCCGUUACAUCCCCUGGCGGCUGCCGUUGAGUGUGUGUGUGUGUGU